rnacentral:rRNA from 1 species
GACAGAGGGUGCAAACGUUGUUCGGAAUUACUGGGCGUAAAGCGCGUGUAGGCGGCCCUGCAAGUCGGAUGUGAAAUCCCACGGCUCAACCGUGGAAGUGCAUUCGAAACUGCAGGGCUAGAGUCCUGGAGAGGAAGGUGGAAUGCUUGGUGUAGAGGUGAAAUUCGUAGAUAUCAAGCGGAACACCGGUGGCGAAGGCGGCCUCUGGACAGUGACUGACGCUGAGACGCGAAAG